rnacentral:rRNA from 1 species
UGGGGAAUAUUGGACAAUGGGGGCAACCCUGAUCCAGCAAUGCCGCGUGUGUGAAGAAGGUCUUCGGAUUGUAAAGCACUUUCGACGGGGACGAUGAUGACGGUACCCGUAGAAGAAGCCCCGGCUAACUUCGUGCCAGCAGCCGCGGUAAUACGAAGGGGGCUAGCGUUGCUCGGAAUGACUGGGCGUAAAGGGCGUGUAGGCGGUUUACACAGUCAGAUGUGAAAUCCCCGGGCUUAACCUGGGAGCUGCAUUUGAUACGUGUAGACUAGAGUGUGAGAGAGGGUUUGUGGAAUUCCCAGUGUAGAGGUGAAAUUCGUAGAUAUUGGGAAGAACACCGGUGGCGAAGGCGGCAACCUGGCUCAUGUGACGCGAGGCGCGAAAGCGUGGGGAGCAAACAGGAUUAGAUACCCUGGUAGUCCACGCUGUAAACGAUGUGUGCUAGAUGUUGGGUAACUUUGUUAUUCAGUGUCGCAGUUAACGCGUUAAGCACA